rnacentral:rRNA from 1 species
AGCAGUGGGGAAUAUUGGACAAUGGGCGAAAGCCUGAUCCAGCCAUGCCGCGUGUGUGAAGAAGGUCUUCGGAUUGUAAAGCACUUUAAGUUGGGAGGAAGGGCAUUAACCUAAUACGUUAGUGUUUUGACGUUACCGACAGAAUAAGCACCGGCUAACUCUGUGCCAGCAGCCGCGGUAAUACAGAGGGUGCAAGCGUUAAUCGGAAUUACUGGGCGUAAAGCGCGCGUAGGUGGUUUGUUAAGUUGGAUGUGAAAUCCCCGGGCUCAACCUGGGAACUGCGUUCAAAACUGACUGACUAGAGUAUGGUAGAGGGUGGUGGAAUUUCCUGUGUAGCGGUGAAAUGCGUAGAUAUAGGAAGGAACACCAGUGGCGAAGGCGACCACCUGGACUAAUACUGACACUGAGG